AACGAACGCUGGCGGCAGGCCUAACACAUGCAAGUCGAGCGCCCCAGCGAUGGGGAGCGGCGGACGGGUGAGUAACGCGUGGGAAUAUACCCUUUGGUACGGAAUAGCCUCGGGAAACUGAGAGUAAUACCGUAUGUGCCCUUCGGGGAAAGAUUUAUCGCCAAAGGAUUAGCCCGCGUUGGAUUAGAUAGUUGGUGGGGUAAUGGCCUACCAAGUCUACGAUCCAUAGCUGGUUUGAGAGGAUGAUCAGCAACACUGGGACUGAGACACGGCCCAGACUCCUACGGGAGGCAGCAGUGGGGAAUCUUAGACAAUGGGCGCAAGCCUGAUCUAGCCAUGCCGCGUGGACGAUGAAGGCCUUAGGGUUGUAAAGUCCUUUCAGAUGGGAAGAUAAUGACGGUACCAUCAGAAGAAGCCCCGGCUAACUCCGUGCCAGCAGCCGCGGUAAUGUACAGUGU
rnacentral:rRNA from 1 species